AUACGGAGGGGGUUAGCGUUGUUCGGAAUUACUGGGCGUAAAGCGUACGUAGGCGGAUCGGAAAGUAAGGGGUGAAAUCCCAGGGCUCAACCCUGGAACUGCCUCUUAAACUCCCGGUCUUGAGUUCGAGAGAGGUGAGUGGAAUUCCUAGUGUAGAGGUGAAAUUCGUAGAUAUUAGGAGGAACACCAGUGGCGAAGGCGGCUCACUGGCUCGAUUCUGACGCUGAGGUACGAAAGUGUGGGGAGCAAACAGGAUUAGAUACCCUAGUAGUCC
rnacentral:rRNA from 1 species